ACUGUGGCAACACAAGCGAAUUGUCCAAAUUUCCUUCCUAACUCGUAUUGUAAUUUAGGAUCCUUGCUAUGUGAAUGCCCUGCAGGGUAUACAGCAACAGCCACCAACGUUGCUUGCGAAUAUAAUUGUGGUGCCUUGACUGACCCAGACAAUGGCGAGGUAAUAACACCAGACGGCACACAUACUGGCGAUGUUGCACAAUACACGUGUGUUAGCGCAUUCAAGGUUGUUGGCACGGCAACGAGAACUUGUCAGCAAGAUACUGGUUGGGAUGGUGCUGCACCAACAUGUGAACCAGCUGAGAUAGGGGAUUCCUGCUUAACAAACAUAUUUCAGUGUAAUAACAUUGCAAAUGGAGGUUGUGUGGCGUUUUCAACUUGCCAAUGUAAUGCCGGAUAUGAAGAUGACGGAACUGGAUUUGCAUGUACCG